rnacentral:miRNA from 1 species
GGAAGCCUGAGAGGUAGGACG